GCCUGGGUGGCUCAGCUGGUUGAGCACCUGACUUCGGCUCAGGUCACGGUCUUGGAGUUUGUGGGUUCGAGCCCCGUGCCAGGCU
rnacentral:tRNA from 1 species